GACCAGAGUAGUAAUAGAUAUGGGCUUGAAACUCAAAGAAUUUGGCGGUGUUUUAGUCUAUGCAGAGGAAUCUGUCCCAUAAUCGAUAAUCCACGUUUACUUAACUUAGAUUUGUUGUCAGCUUGUAUACCGCCGUCAAAAGAGGGAUUUUGAAAAACACUUUCUAAUACUUUUAAUGGAGUUAAAGUCAGGUCAAGGUGCAGCUUAUGUUUAAGGGGGAGAUGGAUUACAAUAGGAAUACUUAGACGGAAGUUUUGUUGGAAAACUGAAUUGAAGGUGGAUUUGAUAGUAAUGGAAUUUAAGGAGAGAUGAUGAAGGAAAGCUCUAAAACAAGCACACAUCGCCC
rnacentral:rRNA from 1 species